AACACGUACACAACCUUCCGAUAAGUGGGGAAUAGCCCAGAGAAAUUUGGAUUAAUACCCCGUAACAUUGCGAUGUGGCAUCACAUUGCAAUUAUAGCUUCGGCGCUUAUUGAUGGGUGUGCGUAUGAUUAGAUAGUUGGCGGGGUAACGGCCCACCAAGUCUACGAUCAUUAGCUGAUGUGAGAGCAUGAUCAGCCACACGGGCACUGAGACACGGGCCCGACUCCUACGGGAGGCAGCAGUAAGGAAUAUUGGUCAAUGGACGAAAGUCUGAACCAGCUAUGCCGCGUGAAGGAUUAAGGUCCUCUGGAUUGUAAACUUCUUUUAUAUGGGACGAAAAAAGGUCUUUCUAGAUCACUUGACGGUACCAUAUGAAUAAGCACCGGCUAACUCCGUGCCAGCAGCCGCGGUAAUACGGAGGGUGCAAGCGUUAUCCGGAUUCACUGGGUUUAAAGGGUGCGUAGGCGGGCAGGUAAGUCAGUGGUGAAAUCCUGGAGCUCAACUCCAGAACUGCCAUUGAUACUAUCUGUCUUGAAUAUUGUGGAGGUAAGCGGAAUAUGUCAUGUAGCGGUGAAAUGCUUAGAUAUGACAUAGAACACCUAUUGCGAAGGCAGCUUACUACGCAUAUAUUGACGCUGAGGCACGAAAGCGUGGGGAUCAAACAGGAUUAGAUACCCUGGUAGUCCACGCCCUAAACGAUGGAUACUCGACAUUUGCGAUACACAGUAAGUGUCUGAGCGAAAGCAUUAAGUAUCCCACCUGGGAAGUACGUUCGCAAGAAUGAAACUCAAAUGAAUUGG
rnacentral:rRNA from 1 species